CUCCCAGACUCCUACGGGAGGCAGCAGUGGGGAAUAUUGCACAAUGGGCGAAAGCCUGAUGCAGCGACGCCGCGUGAAGGAUGAAGUAUUUCGGUCUGUAAACUUCUAUCAGCAGGGAAGAAAAUGACGGUACCUGACUAAGAAGCCCCGACUAACUACGUGCCAGCAGCCGCGGUAAUACGUAGGGGGCAAGCGUUAUCCGGAUUUACUGGGUGUAAAGGGAGCGUAGACGGCGACGCAAGUCUGGAGUGAAAGCCCGGGGCCCAACCCCGGGACUGCUCUGGAAACUGCGUCGCUGGAGUACGGGAGGGGCAGGCGGAAUUCCUGGUGUAGCGGUGAAAUGCGUAGAUAUUAGGAGGAACACCGGCGGCGAAGGCGGCCUGCUGGACCGUGACUGACGUUGAGGCUCGAGAGCGUGGGGAGCAAACAGGAUUAGAUACCCCAGUA
rnacentral:rRNA from 1 species